UACAGCUCGGCAUUCAACACCAUAGUACCCUCCAAGCUCGUCAUCAAGCUCGAGACCCUGGGUCUCGACCCCGCCCUGUGCAACUGGGUACUGGACUUCCUGACGGGACGCCCCCAGGUGGUGAGGGUAGGCAACAACAUCUCCACCCCGCUGAUCCUCAACACUGGGGCCCCACAAGGGUGCGUUCUGAGCCCUCUCCUGUACUCCCUGUUCACCCACGACUGCGUGGCCACGCACGCCUCCAACUCAAUCAUCAAGUUUGCGGACGACACAACAGUGGUAGGCUUGAUUACCAACAACGACGAGACGGCCUACAGGGAGGAGGUGAGGGCCCUCGGAGUGUGGUGUCCGGAAAAUAACC
ensembl:lncRNA